rnacentral:tRNA from 1 species
GCUUCGAUGGCGCAGUGGUAGCGCAGUGGUCUCAUAAUUCAUGAGGAGUCUGAUUUCGAUCAAUCCGCAAUGUAAAAUGCCAUCCAAAGGUCGUGAGUUCGACCCUCACUCGGAGCA